UGUUAGCAGUGAUAAUGGAGCCAUUUUCAAAUCAAGGGGCGCGUAUCGCGGCUGACAUCCCUCGCCACCGUGAUGCACACCGGCUUACCAUAAACGCCUGCGUCCUCUCGCUAUGAAAGCCAGAGGAGGAGCCGAACACCAGGGGACAAAAAAAAAGGAGAGAAAAGAAACGAGAGAGGAGAGGUGACGGUGAGGAGAAAAAACAGGAGGGAGACAGCUUAGGAGAUUGUUAAAAAAGUGAGGGAAUGGAGAAAUAGUGAGAAAGCAUAAGGGAGAGAAAGAGGAAGGAGAAAAAGAAGCAAACCGAACGGAAGCAGAGGACUCGGUGAAGCAGAGAACACAGCACCACCAUCGUCUUCGUCUUCUCAAAACUAGGAGAUUGAAACGCAAAGGAAGGCUGCACGAAGAGACAGAAACAGAAGCGCAAGGAGAAACCGAGCGGCGGAGCAAAGCUCACAGACAGCAGGGGAGGUCAGCACCACCAUCGGUUUCCUUUCUCCAGCCGUCCAAGUUCCAGCAAUCAACCAUCGGUCCACCACCAACAGGCAACAACCGGCUCUCCAGUGACCAGUCUCCACCAGCCAUAGAAAGCAAGUGAGCCCGAGGCCAUGCCUACUUUGGUAACUGGGAGGAGGGAUUGUGGGAAGGAAGGGAAACGGCAGGAUGGGAGAGGGUUUCUUUUGGGAGUUCUAAAGAUGGUUUGGUUUAGUUUGGCUUUUUGCUUAGUAUAUGUAUUGAGAGUUUUGUGGGUUAGUGACAGGAAGACUGUGAUUUCUGGUGGUGAUGGAGUGGUGUGUAUUUUGAGAAAAAAAUACAGACUUUGUUAUUAUUCUACAAUUAGGAAGAUAUUUAAAUAGUAAUUUGCUUGUGGAUUAAUCA